UACGAAGGGUGCUAGCGUUGUUCGGAAUUACUGGGCGUAAAGCGCGCGUAGGCGGCUAUUCAAGUCAGAGGUGAAAUCCCUGGGCUCAACCCAGGAAUUGCCUUUGAAACUGUAUAGCUAGAGUGUCGGAGGGGAUAGCGGAAUUGCUAAUGUAGAGGUGAAAUUCGUAGAUAUUAGCAGGAACACCGGGUGGCGAAGGCGGCUAUCUGGACGACAACUGACGCUGAGGCGCGAAAGCACGGGGAUCAAACAGG
rnacentral:rRNA from 1 species